rnacentral:rRNA from 1 species
GGCUCAGGACGAACGCUGGCGGCGUGCCUAACACAUGCAAGUCGAACGGAAGUUAGAGCUUCGGUUUUAACUUUAGUGGCGAACGGGUGAGUAACGCGUGAGGAACCUGCCUUUCAGUGGGGGACAACAGUUGGAAACGACUGCUAAUACCGCAUGAUGCUUUUGGGAGACAUCUCCUGGAAGCCAAAGCUUUAUGUGCUGAAAGAUGGCCUCGCGUCUGAUUAGCUAGUUGGUGAGGUAACGGCUCACCAAGGCGACGAUCAGUAGCCGGUCUGAGAGGAUGAGCGGCCACAUUGGGACUGAGAUACGGCCCAGACUCCUACGGGAGGCAGCAGUGGGGAAUAUUGGGCAAUGGGGGAAACCCUGACCCAGCAACGCCGCGUGAAGGAAGAAGGCCUUCGGGUUGUAAACUUCUUUUACCAGGGACGAAGGACGUGACGGUACCUGGAGAAAAAGCAACGGCUAACUACGUGCCAGCAGCCGCGGUAAUACGUAGGUUGCAAGCGUUGUCCGGAUUUACUGGGUGUAAAGGGCGUGUAGGCGGAGAUGCAAGUUGGGAGUGAAAUCCAUGGGCUCAACCCAUGAACUGCUCUCAAAACUGUAUCCCUUGAGUAUCGGAGAGGCAAGCGGAAUUCCUAGUGUAGCGGUGAAAUGCGUAGAUAUUAGGAGGAACACCAGUGGCGAAGGCGGCUUGCUGGACGACAACUGACGCUGAGGCGCGAAAGCGUGGGGAGCAAACAGGAUUAGAUACCCUGGUAGUCCACGCUGUAAACGAUGAAUACUAGGUGUGGGAGGACUGACCCCUUCCGUGCCGCAGUUAACACAAUAAGUAUUCCACCUGGGGAGUACGACCGCAAAGGUUGAAACUUCAAAGGAAUUGACGGAAGGGCGAAAUUUCUGCAAGAUAUCCAUCA